UUUCUUCUUCUUCUUCUGGAUUGAAUUUUAGUUUAGUUACAGUCUAUAAAGAAAAAUACAAAAACAUCUGUUUCGGUUGGAUGUUGAAUCCGGUUCACUUAUUUGUUCUCUAUAUUUUAAAGAUUUCAAAAUUCUCAUUCUUCACUGAUGAGCUCGGGUUUGGACUCGAAGGAAAAUGAACUGAGGUCUACUAACUGUUCAUGAGCUUCGAUUUCGUCGACUCUGUUUCUAUGGUUGUUCUGCUGCUUCGCCAUUGAAUCUCGAUGGGAUUUGGGGUCAAAGUGUCGAGUAUAUAGCUAUUGAAAGGAGUUUGAAAUUUCAGCUGUUGUCACUCCCAAUUCCAACGCCGAAUUUG
rnacentral:lncRNA from 1 species